rnacentral:rRNA from 1 species
GAUGAACGCUGGCGGCGUGCCUGAUACAUGCAAGUCGAGCGAAUGGAUUAAGAGCUUGCUCUUAUGAAGUUAGCGGCGGACGGGUGAGUAACACGUGGGUAACCUGCCCAUAAGACUGGGAUAACUCCGGGAAACCGGGGCUAAUACCGGAUAAUAUUUUGAACUGCAUGGUUCCAAAUUGAAAGGCGGCUUCGGCUGUCACUUAUGGAUGGACCCGCGUCGCAUUAGCUAGUUGGUGAGGUAACGGCUCACCAAGGCAACGAUGCGUAGCCGAACUGAGAGGGUGAUCUGCCACACUGGGACUGAGACACGGCCCAGACUCCUACGGGAGGCAGCAGUAGGGAAUCUUCCGCAAUGGACGAAAGUCUGACGGAGCAACGCCGCGUGAGUGACUAAGGCUUUCGGGUCGUAAAACUCUGUUGUUAGGGAAGAACAAGUGCUAGUUGAAUAAGCUGGCACCUUGACGGUACCUAACCAGAAAGCCACGGCUAACUACGUGCCAGCCGCCGCCGUAA